UGCCGUAACGGCAACCCUCCCAGGCAUCUGACUACGGAUCAGGAGGUCGGGGGUUCGAGUCCCUCCAAGC
rnacentral:tRNA from 1 species